rnacentral:snRNA from 1 species
AUGAAAUUUUUGACCACCUGAAAGUGAUCUUAAAUCAAGUUUUUUUAGGGGAAUGGUCCACACGAUAUUAACUUAAUUUUUUUAGGGGGAAAGCCCAUCAAGGUAGCUUGCUACCUGGGCUUUCAAGCGUCACCGUUGCGUUGCACUACUACUUUGGCCUGGCGCACCCCAC